AUUGAACGCUGGCGGCAGGCCUAACACAUGCAAGUCGAACGAGUGGCGGACGGGUGAGUAAUGUCUGGGAAACUGCCCGAUGGAGGGGGAUAACUACUGGAAACGGUAGCUAAUACCGCAUACCAUCAGAUGUGCCCAGAUGGGAUUAGCUAGUUGGUGGGGUAACGGCUCACCAAGGCGACGAUCCCUAGCUGGUCUGAGAGGAUGACAAACCACACUGGAACUGAGACACGGUCCAGGCUCCUACGGGGGGCAGCAGUGGGGAAUAUUGCGCAAUGGGCGCAAGCCUGAUGCAGCCAUGCCGCUUGUAUGAAGAAGGCCUUCGGGUUUUAAAGUACUUUCAGCGAGGAGGCGUUACCCGCAGAAGAAGCACCGGCUAACUCCGUGCCAGCAGCCGCGGUAAUUC
rnacentral:rRNA from 1 species